rfam:Trichobilharzia regenti genome assembly, scaffold: TRE_scaffold0084616
AUCCAUGUGACAAGUCCCAAAUAGGACGAAAUGAGCAUCCUGGAU